rnacentral:rRNA from 1 species
UACGGAGGGUGCUAGCGUUGUUCGGAAUCACUGGGCGUAAAGGGCGUGUAGGCGGUCUGUUAAGUCUGAUGUGAAAUCCCCUCGCUCAACGAGGGAACUGCGUCGGAUACUGGCAGACUCGAGUACCGGAGAGGAAGGUGGAAUUCCCGGUGUAGCGGUGAAAUUCGUAGAUAUCGGGAGGAACACCAGUGGCGAAGGCGGCUCUCUGGACAGGUACUGACGCUGAGACGCGAAAGCGUGGGUAGCAAACAGG